UAUAAGUGUAAUGUCUACAAUAAAGACAGGCUUCAUAAUUCUAAGGCUGUUGGAAUUAAACCCAUAAUGCUUUUGUAAAUGUCAGAAUAAUAACUGGGUAAAUGGCAUAACAACAGGGAUAGCAGAUUAAAAAAAACACGAGUCUGUGUUUCAGCAGAAACGUCGUUGCAGGCUAGAGGGCGAUGGCACAGCACGAGCUAUUCAUUAAGCCCAGGCUUCCUGAUCCAAUCAAUAACACGCCUUUCCAAUUACACAGCGAGGAAGCCAUAGUAAACUCUCGCUGUCCGUAAAUGUUUUAGUAUUGACUGCGCUGGAAGCUCACCUUGUGCUGAGCAUGAAAACAAUGGCAAAGCAGGUGGGAGUGGAGCCAGGUGGAAAAAAAACAAAACAAACAAACAACAACAAUAACAACAACAAAAAAUGCAAGCCUAAAGAUAAUUGGUGUAACCACAUGAAAAAUUCAAUAGGAAAUAGGAACCAGUUCUUAUAAAGGUGAAUAGUGAGUAACGCACAUGGUCAAGUGGCACACACACAAACACAGUAAGCUGUUUACAUCAUUUCUCUGUGUGGACAGAGACAAAGCGAGACAAGUGGCCAAUUGCCGUUAUCGGGCUUGUUCUGAUUCAGCUGCCUAUGCACUCCUGUGUGUGCUGACAGCUUGGUGUGUGUGUCCAUUAUAAAUAGCUUCGCAGAGCUGAGACGUUAGAAACACGCUCCAGGACCGACGUCCCACCAAAUCAGAACUCCCAUGAUGCCUUGUUAUGGGCCCCGCCCUGCUCGGGGCGUGUAAUGAAAUAUGUCCGUGGUGAUGUAUGGCUGCCGGAGAGGCUACAUAAGAUAUUCGGGUUUCCCAGAAGACAAAAUAAUAACUUAUUAUAACUAAUUAUUAUUGGAGAUUUAGACUGAUUCACACUGAUCACCCUGAUCGCCCCCGCCCCAUAAGACACCCAAUUCAAAAGUUUUAUGUUCUCUCUUUUAAAAAAAAAAAUAAUAAUAAUAAAAAAAUUAUUAAUGUUUUGCAGAUUCUGCAAGGCGUGUGCAAACUGUAAAAUUAGCUAAAUUUGCCUUACAGUGUUUUUCAAGUGUAGAAUUAGGAGAAAUGUCUAGAAAUAAAUGUAAUAAUCAUAUAUUUGUUAUAUCGUAAUCUUAUAAUAGGAAAUACUAGGUAAAUUUGAUUACGUUUAAGUCAUUGUUU
ensembl:lncRNA